rnacentral:rRNA from 1 species
GCGAGCGAAAAGAAAAUAGUUCAGCACUAAGUCACUUUGUCUUAAUGGCAAAUGUGAGAUGCAGUGUAUGGAACAUCUAUAAUCUAGUAUGAUAAAUUGAUGAUUUAAGUCCUUCUUAAAUGAGGCCAUUUACCCAAAGAGGGUGCCAGGCCCGUAUAACGUUAAUGAUUGCUAGAAGAUGUUUCCAAAGAGUCGUGUUGCUUGAUAGUGCAGCACUAAGUGGGUGGUAAACUCCAUCUAAAACUAAAUAUUACCAUGAGACCGAUAGUAAACAAGUACCGUGAGGGAAAGUUGAAAAGAACUCUGAAUAGAGAGUUAAAUAGUACGUGAAACUGCUUAGAGGUUAAGCCCGAUGAACCUGAAUAUCCAUUAUAGAAAAUACAGCAUUAUGAUAAUGAUAUGAAUAAUAUUAUUUAUAUAAUGUGCAUUUUUUCUAUAUAAGGACAUUGUAAUCUAUUAACAUAUAUAUAUUUAUCAGAAGAUCAUUAGAUAAAGUUUAUUCUAAUUAAUUUGCUUCGGCAAAUUAACACAAAAUAAGUGCUAUUGAUUUGAUAAAGUGUUGAUAGAUUUUUUAUAUGGUGCUUAAAUUCAAUUAAUGAAUUUUGUAAUGGCAUAAAUUUCUAUUUGAUUUUUAUGUUUAAUUACAUGCACCAAUAUGAUUAACAAUGCGAUAGAUUCAGGAUACCUUCGGGACCCGUCUUGA